CGCCUGUUUAUCAAAAACAUGUCUUUUUAGUUAUUUAAUAUAAAGUCUGACCUGCCCACUGAAUUUAUUUUUGAAGGGCCGCAGUAUUUUGACUGUGCAAAGGUAGCAUAAUCAUUAGUCUUUUAAUUGAAGGCUGGUAUGAAUGGUUGGAUGAGGUACAAGCUGUGUCAUAAAAAUUAAUAUUUGAAUUUAACUUUUUAGUCAAAAGGCUAAAAUUUAAUUGAAAGACGAGAAGACCCUAUAGAGCUUUAUAUAAUGAUUAUUUAAUUUAUUAAGAUUUAUUAAAUUUAAUUAUUUUAUUGUAUUUUGUUGGGGUGACAAUAAAAUUUAAAAAACUUUUAUUAUUAUUUUACAUUUAUUUAUGAUUUUAUGAUCCAGUUUUAUUGAUUAUAAAUUUAAGUUACCUUAGGGAUAACAGCGUAAUUUUUUUUGAGAGUUCAUAUCGACAAAAAAGAUUGCGACCUCGAUGUUGGAUUAAGAGUAAUUUUGGGUGUAGAAGUC
rnacentral:rRNA from 1 species